rnacentral:rRNA from 1 species
AGAGUUUGAUCCUGGCUCAGAUUGAACGCUGGCGGAAUGCUUUACACAUGCAAGUCGAACGGCAGCACGGGAGCUUGCUCCUGGUGGCGAGUGGCGAACGGGUGAGUAAUACAUAGGAACAUACCCAGUAAUGGGGGAUAACGCCGAGAAAUCGGUGCUAAUACCGCAUACGCCCUACGGGGGAAAGCGGGGGAUCUUCGGACCUCGCGUUAUUGGAUUGGCCUAUGUCUGAUUAGCUAGUUGGUGAGGUAAAGGCUCACCAAGGCGACGAUCAGUAGCUGGUCUGAGAGGAUGAUCAGCCACACUGGAACUGAGACACGGUCCAGACUCCUACGGGAGGCAGCAGUGGGGAAUUUUGGACAAUGGGCGAAAGCCUGAUCCAGCCAUUCCGCGUGAGUGAAGAAGG